rnacentral:rRNA from 1 species
GCCAGCGGCCAUACUGCGUCGAAUACACCGGAUCCCAUCCGAACUCCGAAGUUAAGCGGCGCAAGGCCCGGAUAGUACUGGGGUGGGGGACCGCCCGGGAAGUCCUUAGGGUGCUGCUGGCUUC